rnacentral:rRNA from 1 species
CAAUAGCGUAUAUUAAAGUUGUUGCAGUUAAAAAGCUCGUAGUUGAAUUUUUGCUUGCCGCCGAUGUCGGAACUUCCGUACGUUCGGCGGCGUGCAUCCUUGGGUGGAACCUGUGUGGCAUUAGGUUGUCGUGCAGGGGAUGCUCAUCGUUUACUGUGAAGAAAUUAGAGUGUUCAAAGCAGGCUUACGCCGUUGAAUAUAUUAGCAUGGAAUAAUAAGAUAGGACCUUGGUACUAUUUUGUUGGUUUGCGCACCGAGGUAAUGAUUAACAGGGACAGUUGGGGGUAUUCGUAUUCCAUUGUCAGAGGUGAAAUUCUUGGAUUUCUGGAAGACGAACUACUGCGAAAGCAUUUACCAAGGAUGUUUUCAUUAA